rnacentral:rRNA from 1 species
CCACCUGACUUCAUGUUAAAGAUAAAACUACGUCUCUCCUCCGAGAACCGUUUACGUGAUGUUCAACUACUAUUGGUCGUAAAACGAAACGAGGGACUCUCCUUCACAGUUACAGGGGGGAAGGUCUUUUUGUAUCCUCGCGUUUACUGGCGUGUACUCCGUACGGUUGAAGAUUACCUUCAGUACGGCCCUUCUCCGCUUAAGGUACGGUUGGUACGACACACAUAUACACUUUCCUGGCUGACUUGAAGUCAUGAGUUUAGCUUAGGACCACCAUUGAUCGAGCAACCACUUGAAACACCUAGACGCCUACCUAGACUGUGACUUAUACUAGGGUGUCCCUGUCGCUUUCUCUACUAGUGACUUCUACUGUGACGAUGUCCUCUCCUUAAGGCUUCUACUAGGUUGGCACCAUGUUCUCUACUAAGAAACUAGUCUGUUCUCCAAAGACUCGACCUCAUCUAGGAAUAAUCAACUCAAUAGAACGUCGAGCUUCCUUAAUAAACGUAUGUUCACAACAUGCAACAUUAGAGGAGACAAAAUACUUAAAGCCACAUUCGUACUUUGAAAUGAAGAAUGAUAAUAAUAAUAAAAAACG